AGCAAUCACAAGAACUUAUGCAAUAAAUACAGGGAAUAAACAGGAGGACUUGGAAGCUUCACUAUGUGAUCAAAAUGAUGAAUUGGCAUGAGAGACUUGUUGGGAUAAUUCAAAUGACUAGAAUACUAAUAUAAGUAGCAUAGUUUGUUCAGGGGGAAAAGGGGUAAAACUGCAUUGCUCCUCAGUGGGAAAUUAGGAAAGAAAUGAACCAGCUGAAAAUCCCUUCCUAGUAAUAACAGAGAGGAGGAAGGCAGGUGCUGCCAUGAUGGGGGUGGGGGAUGUCUAGAACAAAGCCACAGAGAACAGAUGGACUGAGCUACUUCUUGUGGAGCACACAAGAUGAAUCAUACAUGCAGCACACAGGGCUUGAAGAUGGUGGAGGGACAUGGAUGUGAGAGAAUGGAGAUAGCAGCCAGGGCACAGAGUAUCACAGGAUGCAAACACUCUGAUGACUGGAAAGCAGCCUGGAAAGUCCUUGCUCUAGAUUUUAAAAGAGAAGCUUGGAGAUAAAAUAGAAAGCAAAGUGGGCAAUAGCCAUCAUGGAAUGAGAAAACUCAUGGCUCCCAGAAAGCAAAAUACAGACAACAGACUUGAAGAAAUCCAGCUUAAAUAAACUCAGAACUGGAAGAGUGUGGCCUUCCUCAACCUACACAAUUCUCUGUUAAACCGGAUGGAUGUUGUGAAGUGCAAUUCUGCAGGCGUAUGCCCUGGAUUUGCUUCUGUGAAGUGCUUCUACUACAACCUUAUUUGCUUGAACACUGAGUUGCUUUCUGCUACAGCAAAACUGAGGGCUGCACAGGCGACAGUGGGCUGUUCUGAGGAUGUUUGCUCAAAAUACAGGGUGAUUAUGACAGCUAGAACUGAAUACUCAGUUUGGGGCAACAUGUUUCAGCUUAAAAAAAAGUAAAAGAAGAAUGAAAAGUGAUGUGGACUGAGAAAAAAAGGACUAUCAGAGAACAGCCAGAGCCCCCACAAACACAAGCUUGGGGAAGACUUGGAAGAAGGUUCUCAUUCAGCAGAAAAGGCACAGCCUCAAGACUCUGCAGCUCACUGUGGUCACAAGCUUCCACUGAGGCAUCUGAGGAAAGAAAUCUCUGCAGGACACUAGAGACAGUCAUGCACAAAGCUCAGCCCCACCACCUUUUCUGGCAAAGAGAAAUGACCAAGGAUCACAAAAAUUAGUGCAAUUUGCAAAAUCAUCACAGCACACAGCCAUACAGGUUCCUUCCAGUAUGGAAACUGAGACUUAAAUGGUAUGAACUUACCUUUUGUGAAAUUCCUAGCUACGUGGUUUAUGGCUGUGUCUCUGCUCUUAGAUGUGCCCAACAGAUCCUGGGUUCUGCUUGAGGAAGUAAGGCUUCUUGUAAUUACAAAUCAAAUGAAUGAGCUUCCAUCAUAGCUUAUUUUCCAUUUUAGUUGGCGGUGAUCUCAUCUCUCUCUCUAACCCAGUUACAUAUCACCUUGGAGACCCACAGGUUACCUGCAUGUUGCUAGGAUGUACCAUUUGGCUGUUUCUCCUUUUUCUCAGCCACAUUGCCCACUCCCUGAGCUGCUAAGCCACUGGACGUUGCCCAGGGUGCUUCUAUUUUCCAUCUGCAAAGUCUGUUUAAGACAGUGGGAUGAAGAUUACAAGGAAUGCCAAUUUCUGUUUCUGAUCAUCAACAUAGAAUUUGGAAAACAUUUUUAACUUGUUAUUCUAUUAUAUAUUCAUCUGCUAUGGAUAGGGAUAGCAUAGAACCAUAUCACCUACCUUACAAGCAUUCCUUCUCAAAAUACAUUGUUAUUAUCUUGAAAUGCUGAACAGAGAACAUAUGCACAUGCAGUUACUUCCCUUCAGAGGCCCAUGUUCACGUUUUGUGUAAAAUGUUGUAAAUGGACCACAGAUCUUUGGAUGAAAAGCUGAAAAAAAGCAUCCCUACGGGGUUAUGUAGGGAUACAUUGAGAGGAGAUGUGAAAGACAGAAUGUAUCUACCACCUAAACUUACACACAGUCAAUGCAGCCUGUGAUUGAACUAUAAUAACAUCAGUGGUGAGCAGCUGUUGUUACAAAAUCCUCACUGGUACUGAGUAGAAAAGGGAAACAGAAUGAAGAAAUUUGAUUGAGCUGGCUUGAAAGGAGAAGAACCCAACUACCUUUUUGUCCUAAUCAUAAUAUUUUAGUACAAC
ensembl:lncRNA